rnacentral:rRNA from 1 species
CAGUCGCCGCGGGAAUACGAAGGGGGCUAGCGUUGUUCGGAUUUACUGGGCGUAAAGGGCGCGUAGGCGGACUGGUAAGUCAGGGGUGAAAUCCCAAGGCUCAACCUCGGAACUGCCUUUGAUACUGUUUGUCUUGAGUUCGAGAGAGGUAAGUGGAACUGCGAGUGUAGAGGUGAAAUUCGUAGAUAUUCGCAAGAACACCAGUGGCGAAGGCGGCUUACUGGCUCGAAACUGACGCUGAGGCGCGAAAGCGUGGGGAGCAAACAGGAUUAGAGACCCCCGUAGUCCCUGUCUCUUAUAC